GACGAACGCUGGCGGCGUGCUUAACACAUGCAAGUCGAACGGAAAGGCCCUGCUUUUGUGGGGUGCUCGAGUGGCGAACGGGUGAGUAACACGUGAGUAACCUGCCCUUGACUUUGGUAUAACUUCAGGAAACUGGGGCUAAUACCGGAUAGGAGCUCCUGCUGCAUGGUGGGGGUUGGAAAUUUUCGGCGGUUGGGGAUGGACUCGCGGCUUAUCAGCUUGUUGGUGGGGUAGUGGCUUACCAAGGCUUUGACGGGUAGCCGGCCUGAGAGGGUGACCGGCCACAUUGGGACUGAGAGACGGCCCAGACUCCUACGGGAGGCAGCAGUGGGGAAUAUUGCACAAUGGGCGGAAGCCUGAUGCAGAAACGCCGCGGGCGGGAUGACGGCCUGUGGGUUGUAAACCGCUUUCGCCUGUGACGAAGCGUGAGUGACGGUAAUGGGUAAAGAAGCACCGGCUAACUACGUG
rnacentral:rRNA from 1 species